rnacentral:rRNA from 1 species
AUACGGAGGACGCGAGCGUUAUCCGGAUUCAUUGGGUUUAAAGGGUGCGCAGGCGGCCGUGCAAGUCAGCGGUGAAAGCCCGGGGCUCAACCCCGGAAGUGCCGUUGAUACUGCGUGGCUGGAAUGCGGUCGAGGCGGGCGGAACGUGGCGUGUAGCGGGGAAAAGCGUAGAUAUGCCACAGAAAGCCGAUAGCGGAGGCGGCUCGCCAGGCCUGCAUUGACGCUCGGGCACGAAAGCGUGGGGAUCGAACAGGAUUAGAUACCCUGGUAGUCCACGCCGUAAACGAUGGGCGCUCGUCGUCGGCGACAGACAGUCGGCGGCCAAGCGAAAGCGAUAAGCGCCCCACCUGGGGAGUACGGUCGCAAGGCUGAAACUCAAAUGAAUUGACGGGG